rnacentral:rRNA from 1 species
GAUGAACGCUGGCGGCGUGCCUAAUACAUGCAAGUCGAGCGAACGGACGAGAAGCUUGCUUCUCUGAUGUUAGCGGCGGACGGGUGAGUAACACGUGGAUAACCUACCUAUAAGACUGGGAUAACUUCGGGAAACCGGAGCUAAUACCGGAUAAUAUUUUGAACCGCAUGGUUCAAAAGUGAAAGACGGUCUUGCUGUCACUUAUAGAUGGAUCCGCGCUGCAUUAGCUAGUUGGUAAGGUAACGGCUUACCAAGGCAACGAUGCAUAGCCGACCUGAGAGGGUGAUCGGCCACACUGGAACUGAGACACGGUCCAGACUCCUACGGGAGGCAGCAGUAGGGAAUCUUCCGCAAUGGGCGAAAGCCUGACGGAGCAACGCCGCGUGAGUGAUGAAGGUCUUCGGAUCGUAAAACUCUGUUAUUAGGGAAGAACAUAUGUGUAAGUAACUGUGCACAUCUUGACGGUACCUAAUCAUAUAGCCACGGCUUACUACGUGCCAGCAGCCGCGGUAAUACGUAGGUGGCAAGCGUUAUCCGGAAUUAUUGGGCGUAAGCGCGCGUAGGCGGUUUUUUAGUCUGAUGUGAAAGCCCACGGCUCAACCGUGGAGGGUCAUUGGAAACUGGAAAACUUGAGUGCAGAAGAGGAAAGUGGAAUUCCAUGUGUAGCGGUGAAAUGCGCAGAGAUAUGGAGGAACACCAGUGGCGAAGGCGACUUUCUGGUCUGUAACUGACGCUGAUGUGCGAAAGCGUGGGGAUCAAACAGGAUUAGAUACCCUGGUAGUCCACGCCGUAAACGAUGAGUGCUAAGUGUUAGGGGGUUUCCGCCCCUUAGUGCUGCAGCUAACGCAUUAAGCACUCCGCCUGGGGAGUACGACCGCAAGGUUGAAACUCAAAGGAAUUGACGGGGACCCGCACAAGCGGUGGAGCAUGUGGUUUAAUUCGAAGCAACGCGAAGAACCUUACCAAAUCUUGACAUCCUUUGACAACUCUAGAGAUAGAGCCUUCCCCUUCGGGGGACAAAGUGACGGGUGGUGCAUGGUUGUCGUCAGCUCGUGUCGUGAGAUGUUGGGUUAAGUCCCGCAACGAGCGCAACCCUUAAGCUUAGUUGCCAUCAUUAAGUUGGGCACUCUAAGUUGACUGCCGGUGACAAACCGGAGGAAGGUGGGGAUGACGCCAAAUCAUCAUGCCCCUUAUGAUUUGGGCUACACACGUGCUACAAUGGACAAUACAAAGGGCAGCGAAACCGCGAGGUCAAGCAAAUCCCAUAAAGUUGUUCUCAGUUCGGAUUGUAGUCUGCAACUCGACUACAUGAAGCUGGAAUCGCUAGUAAUCGUAGAUCAGCAUGCUACGGUGAAUACGUUCCCGGGUCU